CAGACACAUCAGCGAUGGAUGUUCUAUAGCCUUCUCAACAGCACCACCCAUUGAGGACCAAGAGAUCAUUUUUAUUGCCCAGUUGAAUAAAGUGAAGGUCACAGAGAGCAAGUAGCUUAUCCAAGUCACACAGAUCUGAGAGUAGUCAAAUGCUUGGAAUUGACCUGGGUUGUUUGCAAGAGAAACCAAUGCUCUUGAUUGCUGAGCAAUUUCUCCAGCCCCAGAUUCUAAACGGGAAGGAAGAUGAUACAGCAAUGUGCAUGUUAUUAUCAAAAAAGAAGAAGAGGAAGUACAUACAGACAUGUACAAUCAGAAGCCGGACUAGUUAACUCCCAUACCUCACCCUUAUACUUGCUCUGUUGGACAUUUUAAGGUCAGGUCGUAAAAGAAGUCAAGAAUGGCAUAUGUUGUGAUGACUUCAGUUCUUAACUGAUAUCUGGAAUGUUCUCUAAAACAAUAUUCAAAGCAAAACAAAAGCCAAGCCUAGAGACUAGAAGCAUGUGCUAUAAUAUUAAGAAAUAAACACUUAAAA